UGUGCUGGGGGAACUUGGUGGCCAAGAUGAGUACUCUCUGGUUGAUGCCCUAAAAGGGGGAAAAGUUCAUAAGCCUGUUGUUGCUUGGGUUAGUGGAACCUGUGCUCGGCUCUUCAAGUCAGAAGUGCAGUUUGGUCAUGCUGGCGCUAAGAGUGGCGGUGAAUUGGAAUCUGCACAAGCUAAGAAUCAAGCUCUACUGGAGGCUGGAGCAGUUGUCCCCACUUCAUUUGAAGCAUUGGAGGGUGCAAUUAAAGAGACUUUUGAGAAAUUGGUCGAGGAAGGCAAAAUAUCCCCAAUAAAGGAAGUUCAACCUCCACAGAUUCCUGAGGACCUUAGCACUGCGAUUAGUAGCGGAAAGGUCCGGGCACCAACACAUAUUAUCUCGACUAUAUCUGACGACAGAGGGGAUGAACCAUGUUAUGCCGGUGUCCCGAUGUCUACCAUUGUCGAAAAAGGUUAUGGAGUAGGCGAUGUUAUCUCUCUUUUAUGGUUCAAGCGUAGCCUUCCUCGUUAUUGUACACAAUUCAUUGAGAUUUGCGUCAUGCUGUGUGCCGAUCAUGGUCCUUGUGUCUCCGGUGCUCAUAACACUAUAGUUACAGCG
rnacentral:misc_RNA from 1 species